rnacentral:rRNA from 1 species
AACGAACGCUGGCGGCAUGCCUAACACAUGCAAGUCGAACGAGACCUUCGGGUCUAGUGGCGCACGGGUGCGUAACGCGUGGGAACCUGCCCUUAGGUUCGGAAUAACUCCCCGAAAGGGGUGCUAAUACCGGAUAAUGUCUUCGGACUAAAGAUUUAUCGCCUUUGGAUGGGCCCGCGUUGGAUUAGCUAGUUGGUAGGGUAAAAGCCUACCAAGGCGACGAUCCAUAGCUGGUCUGAGAGGAUGAUCAGCCACACUGGGACUGAGACACGGCCCAGACUCCUACGGGAGGCAGCAGUGGGGAAUAUUGGACAAUGGGCGAAAGCCUGAUCCAGCAAUGCCGCGUGAGUGAUGAAGGCCUUAGGGUUGUAAAGCUCUUUUACCCGGGAUGAUAAUGACAGUACCGGGAGAAUAGGCUCCGGCUAACUCCGUG